rnacentral:rRNA from 1 species
UACGGGGGGAGCAAGCGUUGUUCGGAAUUACUGGGCGUAAAGGGCGCGUAGGCGGCCUACUAAGUCAGACGUGAAAUCCCCCGGCUUAACCUGGGAACUGCGUCUGAUACUGGAAGGCUUGAGGAUGGGAGAGGGAUGUAGAAUUCCAGGUGUAGCGGUGAAAAUGCGUAGAUAUCUGGAGGAAUACCGGUGGCGAAGGCGGCAUCCUGGACCAUUACUGACGCUGAGGCGCGAAAGCUAGGGGAGCAAACGGGG